GAAGGUGGAGGUGCCAGAUGCCUCCUCCACUUCAGUGGUCACUGCUGAGAGUGCUCCUUGGGAAUAUCAGAUGGAAGGGUCUUUGAGGAAGGAUGACUUCCUCUGGAGUACGGAGGAGCAGGUCAAAGAAUUUAGGCAUAUAUCACUGGGGUCCAGGGAUUUGCAGGCAAGGUGCCUGAGGACUCGUGGGUAGCCAGCAUCACUGCAGCCUUCAGAAAGGGUGAGAAGGAGGGCCUGCGCAACUGUAGGCUGUUCAGGAUCACCUCCCUCCCUGGCACUGAAAUGGGACAGCUUGUUCUGGAUGUCAUCUCUAAGGAGCGGUCAUGGUGGAUUCAGCAAGAGGAAGUGAUGAUGGACUGACCUGGUAGCUUUCUGUGUUGUGACUGUCUGGUUGGAUGAGAGAAGGGCAGUGGAUGUUGUGGGGUGGAAUAUCACUCCUGUCAGUAAAUAUCUAAGUGUGGAGUUGAUGGGAGUGGGCUUGUGCAGGCACAGAUGGAAGGUAUGUGGUGGUAGAAUGGGGGUAAUGUUCACAGGCUGGAACACUGGUGGUUCUAUAGAAACAGAGGGAAGAUGGGUUUCACUGUGAGGGUGAUGGAAUAGGCUGUGGGGUCCCCUUCCCUGGGGAUUUAAGUUGCACCUGGCUGUUUUUGUGGGUGAUAUGCUAUGUAGGGAGGCUGCAUGAUCUGUUCACAGGGUGAGCGCCACAGUGGAGCAUUGAGGAUCAGCCUGAGGAAGGAUGUGAGCUGUCUGACCUGCCUACCUGGUGGCCCUUCAAGAAUGUGUUUGAGUUCUUCCUGCAGGUUCAGGGUGGGUGUCCUACUGAUGUGACUGCAGGGGCUCUGUGGAGUGAGGUGAGCUGUGCUGUCUCAGGGCUGGGACUGGGUGUUGGUGUGUUUUGGUUUUAUUCCUGAAGGUGUGUGGCAGGCCCACUGGUGGUGCUGGAGUUGUUUCAGUCUUCCAGGGCUGUUGUCUUCCCUUGGAUUGCGGUGCAGCUGGUGUGCCAGGAGGAAGGUCCCCAUCCUGGGUGCUGCAGAACUGUCAGGAGUAGCUCCUGUGUGGUGACUGCUCUGUGGUGGUGCUUCUGGUCCUGAAGGUGGGAGAUGGAGUGAGGAGGAGCUGGGUUCUGUGUUCCUGCUGAAGGAGAAAAUUCAUUUCAUUUCAAACCUCAGUGUUUGCCCCCAAAAUACUGGUGACUAACCUUACUUCUGUGGAGCGGAAAGUGGGUGAAGAUGCAUCCCUUUUGUAGAAGAAUGAGUGGCUUGUGAUGGCUUUCCGGGAAGACUGAUCUGCUGCAGGUGUGAUUGCUCUGUGUUGUGGGGGAGAAUUGGGAUGCCUAAGAAUAUCUGCACUGGAGUGGGAAUGACUAGGCUUAGCUAACUCAAGUUUUCAUGGUGAAGUGGAUACCUGUCCAUCUCUGACUUUAAAACAACAGUAAAUCCUUGCUUACCUCACAAAGAUGCGCUGUCUAUUUCUGUGCUUGGGCUCUGUUUCCUUGCUGCUGCUGAUAUUCAUCUUGGGGGAACACAGAAAGGGAGAAAAAUGACCCCUGAAGCAGUAGACUAUUUAGCAUUGCAUGUUCUGCAAAAGAAAAACAAGUGAGACUUAAUAACAAAUAGUUUUACAAGUUAUCUACUGCAGAAGUACAGUGUGUCAGACUUGCUUUACUCACUGAAUGAAAUGGUAGAGUACAUUGUCAGCGUUUGUAUUGUUGCAACUGUAUUUCUAGAGAAGCAUUUCUUGAGCUCUGUAGAGCUUCCCAGGAUCAUGGUAUGGUGUGCCAUCCCAAUAGAGUGGCUGUGACUGUCUUUCAAAAGAACUCUGCUUUCCAUCUUUUUAAGAAGAGUUCACUGAGAACUGUCUCUGGUUUCUUGGUAGGUAACCUGAGCUACUGCUUCACUGCACAACCCUUUGGAUUGAAUUGUGAGCUUUUUACCAGAAGAAAUGGAAGUUCUGCUGGAGUUCUGCCCUG
ensembl:lncRNA